CCAAUUUAGGAGCUUUCCCAUCAGAGUGGAAAAUGCAUGAAGUUUACUCAUCUUCACCACAGAAGGACAGAACGUUGAGAAGAUGGGAUCUGUCAUGAAACAACUGUUCAAAGGAACAAACCCUUCUUAUAGAAAAAAGUACGUUUUCUUCCCUUCAUCGGCUUCUCUUUCUCUAAUGAUGUAUUAUGGGUGGAUCUGCUAUUGACUUUAGUCCUUGGCCUUUGCCCAGGCAUUUCCUGUGAGAAUUGGUAGGACCAAAGCUGCCUCCAGAGUUCAGCUACAACAGGGCAGAAAUUUGUUUAUUUGUUGGAUUUAUCACUAAAGUUACAGACAUGUCAGCAAAGUCACCACUUGAUUUAUUACUGCUGAUUUUGCAUCAUCCUGAAAGGUCAGAGCCUGACUCACGGAGUGCAUUUGUGAGACUGGAAACAACAAAAGCGGUACUUCUUGUUGUGAGAAGAGCUCAUGGAAAUUUUCAAAACGAGAGCCUCAGAAUCUCGCCGUGUUCCACAUGGUGAUGGCUUUGCAUGGCUGGUUUUGUUUUAUUACUUUCUUUUUUCCAAAAACACGUCUGCCUAACUACAUCACACUGCAUAGCGUAGGGCAGUGCUGAAGGGAAGCUGAAAGCUAAAUUAGCAGAUUUCUGAAAUGGCAGAGGAGUGGUUCAGAAUGAAGGCAUCUGAAAUAGCAUGUUUUAGAUGUCUACAGUGCAGUCUUUAAAACUGGAAGUUCAUUUUACAUUUAUGUGGUUGAUUAUUCUGAACCCUGUUCUUAGCCUAUAUUCAGACAGCCACAUCUAUAUUACAAUGCAUGCUCUUCUGUGUUAUUUUCUCCUGGACUGUUCUGCUUUCUUGGUUUUUGAGGAAGGUUUUCUCAAAGCAGAAGGGAAAUUAUGUAUGUGAGUGUUGAGGGGCUCUGCUAGGGACUCACUUGUCAGCAGUGGGAGACCAGUGGCUGCUGCGUGUGCUGGCAUGAUGCAGGAAGCCAGCUGAUGCUGAUCAGUGAUGCUGAUGGCAGCUCCUAUGUCAGGACAUAAGUCCUAGAUUACGUUUUCUCAACUCUGCAGUUCUACUACUCUGGUUUUGUUUUCAAAUUCAGUGUUUUAAUGUCAGUAUAUAAACAGAAUAACCAGCUCCAGCAACAAGAACAAUGUCAGGAGCCAUUAAUGACCUGAGAAGAUGUUUGAUAAAUGAAAGUAGCGUUAGGGUAAAUAAAGGUGUGACAAUGAAAGCAAGAGAAAAGGACUUUGCUGCUGUAAACUCUGUAACAAUGCUACAUUACCCGUGGUGCUUUUUGAAUACAUGCAUUUUCUUCUGAAGAAACUAAUAGUGUGAGUUUUUUUGUAGCCUAAGCAGGAGCCCUUUUGGAAGGAAAAGGAAAAGGAAAGGCCCUUGCUUUAAUCUCCAAGUAUUGUUAGUUCUUUCCAUUAUUUCCAUCCUCACUCCUUGCUGUGUGCUCUGCCCACCACCUCCACCCCACCCCCACAGGAAAAAACAAAAAGUUGAGGAUACUACAGUGGAUCAGUAGAGAACAAAGGUUUCACUUUAGGCUGAGAACUUUUUACUUUUUUAAAAGCUUUUUUUUUUUUCCUACAAGCAAAAACCCCAUUUUUUAAUACUUUCUUUUAACUAAUGAGAAGGAAUAUAAUUGAAAUAGUUUUUCACUGGUAUGUUUUAAAUGUAAUGCGCAAACCGUAUGUCAUUAACCCCUUAUCUUAGUAUUUCAGGAAGCAAGAGAUUUGAGCUUUGUGUUUUCCUGAUUUAGAAAAAGUAUCAUUGAUUCCACCUUGAAUAGCAGGACACCAUCAGAAGGACUCUGCUUGCAUAGCAUUUGCUCAAACUGAGUAAACAGUUUAAAGAUAAGCAGCUUUUUGACUAUGAAAUGUAGCAGGCGUGUGGCUGACACAGCUUCACGCUGAAGAUGCCUUUGUGCCUGUCUUUGUGAUGGAGAGCACACAGAUGUUCUCCUUGACAUUUAAAAAAACCUGCUGCUUAGCAAAAUAACAUGUAAAAUUAGAACGAACAGUGCAGCAGUGAGUAGUGUAACUGGUUAGCCUGCCCAGCGGAAGACUGUCUCAUGUCAAUGUAAUGGAGCGUGUUCUUAUUGGUACUCAGUAACUGCUUCAUCAUUAUUUAAAAAUAGCCUAUG
ensembl:lncRNA